ensembl:lncRNA
AUGGAUUUUCUGCUUAGCAGAAUUCUCUAUAUUUUGAGUAUCUUUACCCAAAGGCAGAGCUGGCCUGGUGACUUAAUUCACAUUGGGACACUUACCGUCACAUUCAUAGCACUGGAUCAAAUACUACAAGUGAACAGCCAAAAGAAGAGGUAUUGCUCUAGGUUGAAUGACAUCUUCCCCUCAAAAGAUAUGUGGAAGUCCUAACCCCCAUUUCCUCAGAAUGUGGCCUUAUUUGGCAAUAAGGCCAUUGUAGAUACAAUUAGUUUAGAUGAAGUCGUACUGGAGUAGGGUGGGUCCCAAGCCAAGAUAACUGGUGCCUUUAUAGGAAGGGGAAAUUUGUACACACGGAGAAUGUCUUGAACAUAAAGACAGAGGUGGGGAGAUGCAACUGCAAUCCAAGGGACGCCAAAGAUUGCCAGCCAACCACCAGCAGCCAGGAGAGAGGCCUGGGACAGGUUCUCCCUCACAGCAGAGUGGGUUCAUGUCUUAGUCUGUUUGAGCUGCUAUAACAAAAUACCGUAAACUAGAUGGCUUAUAAGCAACACAUUUUUUUUUUUUUGUAGUUCUGGAGGCUGGGAAGUCUGAGAUCAAGAUACCAGCAAAUUCAGUGUCUGAUGAGGGCCCAUUUCCUGGUCCCCAGACGGUGCCUUCUGAUUGUGUCCUCACAUCGGGGAGAGGCAAGCUAGCUCUACGGGGUCUCUCUUAUAAAGGUUCUAAUCCCAUUCAUGAGGGCUCCUCCCUCAUGGCUUCUCAAAAGUCACCACCUCCUAAUACCUAAUACCUUGGAGGUUAGGAUUUCAACAUAAUGAGUUUUGAGGGGACACAAACAUUCAGACCAGAGUAGCCCCUAACCCAGUAUGACUGGUGUCUUUGUAAGAAGGUGGCUUUGUGAAGACAGAGACACAUGAGGAGAAUACCAUGUGACAACCAAGGCAGAGGCUGGCAUUAAUGCAGUUACAAGCCAAAGAAUGCCAGAAAUUGCCAGUGAAUCACCAGUAGCUAGGAGAGCAGCAAGGAAGGACACUCACCCGCAGGUUUAGGGGGGAACAUGUCCCUGCUGAUACCUCAAUUUUACACAUCUAGCCUUCAGAAUUGUGAGAGAAUAUAUUUCUGUUUUAAGCCACUCAAUGUGUGGUGCUUCGUUGGGCAAUGGGACGUAGCAAUGUAUGGCGAAAUCUUUCUCCUCCCACCACACAGAACACAUUCAUUCAAAGAGUAUAAAUUGGCCCAAGCUUAAUAAACAUUCUCUUUUUUACUAGUGAGUCAACACAAGUAUAGGCUGGGUUAGUUCUAUAGAUGAAACAGAAUUUGAAAUGUGUAAUGUUAAAGCCAAAGGUCCAGUGGCUAUUUAUUCCACAUUCUAUAUAACUACCCUAACCCAAGCAGCUGUUCUAAAACCCCAAUGACUAGGGCCCUGAUAAAACAUUCUUUAAAGUGCUGGAACAAGAUUCAGACUCUCAGAAUUUGCCGUUUCAGUUUGAGAAGAUGAAGAGUUUGAAGAUGAGAAGACUCAAAUUUGAGUCCAGCACCCAGCUGCCAGUCUAGCAGCCCACUGCAGCCCCCAGAGAAUGAAAAUGGAAUGCUUGGUCCCAUGCCCAUGGUGGGUGUCCUCUAGGAAGCUCUGGGGUUCCCACCUGGCCUCCAGCCAUAUCAGGGCCAUAUAGAUUUCUUAAAAUAAAUAUCUACUUGUGUAUCACCUUGUGGUGGCUCUGAUCAUCUCUAGCACCAAGUCUAAGCAUGAUGCUUGAAUAAGCCUCCAUGAUUUAUGCCCACUCUGGGCUCUGGGCUCCUGUUCCAUCACACUCUCCCUUUAGCUUUAUAUCUAGUUACACAAAAUUACUUGUUGUUUCCGCAAUAAAGCCUUAUGUGUUUUGUCUUUGUAACUUUAACUAUCACUUAAAUUUACAAUGCCCUUUCCUUCUUUUCCUACUGAAACAACCCUAGUUAAUCUUCAAAAUAUUCAUAAGGGAUACUUUCCUAUGAAAGCCUGCUUUGACAACAUCCUCCAGAUAGACUUAAUACCUUUUUUCUUUGUAUAAUUUUUUACCUGCUCCUUUACUGUGCAUCUCAAACUAUAUUUAAUAGUUCAUUUGUAAUCAUUUUUAAAUUAAACUGUGAGAUCCUUGAGAGCAGGAAUUGUAUUUUAUUUAUAUAGGAUGCCCAGUAGUAAGCGCAGUGCCUAUACCUGUACAGGUGAUUAGUAACUGUUUAAAUGAAUUAUUCAUUUAACAAAUAUUUCUUGAGACUUUUUAUGUUGCAGGCAUUGUUCUGGGCCUUGUAGAUAUGGCAAUAGUCAAGAUAAAUAAAGACCUUUCCUACCUGAAGCUUGUGUUCUGGUGGAGAAGAUGGAUAAACAGAUAAAAACAAUAGACAUUGCAUAUACUUUCAGGUAAUGAUAUGUGCUAUGAAGAAGAAAAAAGGCAGUGUAGGAGGUUGUGGGUCAAUGGGAAUUCUCUUAGAUUCACAAAUCAAGAGGUAAUCAAAUGAAACUUAACCAAAAAACACAAUGACUUCUCUCUAACCAACCUUGAUUACUGGAUAGUCUUCUUAUCCAAGUCAGCUUAAUGUGCUGUUCAAGAGAAUCAGUGUGGAAGGAAGGAAAUGUGCAAGAGAGUCCUGUAUCAGACACUGUGGGCAGGGAGCUUUACAUCUCUCAUCUUAUUGGGCUUUGACAAUACCCUUCAAGACAGGUGCUGUUGCAGAUGAAUGACAACCUGAACUUCAGGGAGGCCAAAUAAUAUGUCCAUGUGGAGUGUCUGAGUGUGUGAGCCAAGGUUCAAACCCAGGCUGUCCUGGGCCACUUGUCAACACCAGUUCUACAGUUGAAUUCUAUGAAUACUUAUCAGGUGCUGACUUUGUGUCAAGCCCUGUUCUUCGUGCUCGGCAUACACCAGCAAAUAGAAUAGACAGAAAUCCCUGCCAUUUCAGAAAGUAACAAGUGUUGACAAGGAUGUGGAGAAAUUGAAACGCUUGUGCACUGUUGGCGGGAAUGUAAAAUGGCACAGGUACUAUGGAAAACAGUAUGGUAGAUCCUCAGAAAAUUGAAAAUAUAGAUCCCAUUUCUGGAAAUAUACCCAAAGGAAUUGAAAGCAGGAUCUUGAAGAGAUAUUUGUAGACUCAUGUUCAUAGCAGCAUUAACCAAAAGGUAGAAGCAAUGCAAGUACCCAUCAACAGGUGAAUAGAUAAAUAAAAUGUAGCCUAUAUGCAUUUACCACACAUGGAAUAUUAUUAAGUCUUCAGAAGGAAGUAAAUUAUGACAUAUGCUAUAACAUGGGUGAACCUUGAUGACAUUAUGUUAAGUGAAAUAACCCAGUUAUCAUAUAAGACAAAUAUAUGAUUCUGUUUACAUAAGGUACCUAGACCAGUCAAAUUCAUAGAGAAAGUAGAAGAGUGAUUGCCAGGGUCUGGCAAAAAGAGGAAGUGGGGAGUUAGUGUUUAAUGGGUGCAGAGCUUCAGUUUGAGAAGAUGAAGAGUUCUGGAGACGGAUGGUGGUGAUAGUUGCACAACAAUGUGAAUGUACUCGAUGCCACUGAACUGUACACUUAAAAAUGGUUAAAAUAGUAAAUUUCAUGUUGUGUGUGUAUUUCACCAUAAUUUAAAAAAUCUCUGCCCUUAUGGAGCUCAUGUUUUAGUUCGGGGACAUGAACAGUAAACAGAUUAAAUAUGUAAAUCAUUAGCUAUUAGAAGGAGA